CGGACUCCAUUAGGCAGCAGCUGGGGGAAGAAUCAACACACCAGGGAGCGGAGCGGCGCGGACCGAGCACCGAGGCGGCCGCUGCCUCCGCCGCCGCCUCCGCCGCAGCCGUCGGGGCUCCAGCUUCGGGCCCGCGCCCCCCCCAGUGCCCGCGAGCCCCCGGGCCGCGCCGCGAGCGCCUCCGGAGGGGGGGGGAAGGGCCCGGUCCUCCUUCUCCCCCUCCUCCCGCCCCACCGACCCCCGCCGCGCCCCGCCGGCCUCCCACCACGGCCUCUCUCGGCGAGGAAACUCUGGCCUCCGCUUCCUCCUCCUCCGACUCGGACGCCGGCGGAGCCUCCCCGCCCCCGCGGAAGAAGCCCCGAGCCUCGGCGGCGGAGGGAGCAGGAGAGCCCGGGGCCUCGGCCGGCCGAGCAGGCCUCCCCCCCCCGCCCUCGCCCUCGCCGGCCGCCUCCUCCUCCGUGGUGGUGGUGGUGGGACUGCCUCCGGCCGCCCCCGCCGCCCCGCAGCGGAGCAGCGGCCACAGCCUGGUCAGCGGCGGCACCAUGCAGGCCAACGGGGCGGGAGGAGGCGGCGGCGGGGGCGGCGGGGGCCAGGGCCAGACCCCGGAGCUCGCCUGCCUGUCGGCGCAGAACGGGGAGUCAUCCCCCUCGGCGACGUCCGCGGGGGACCUGGCCCACGCCAACGGGCUCCUGCCUGCCGCCCCCUCCGCCGCUGGCAACAAUAGCAACAGCCUGAGUGUCAAUAACGGGGUUCCCGGCGGGGCCGCCGCGGCCUCCGCCACCGCCGCCGCCGCCCAGGCCACCCCGGAGCUGGGCAGCAGCCUCAAGAAGAAGAAGCGGCUCUCGCAGUCCGAUGAGGAUGUCAUUAGGCUCAUAGGACAGCACCUCAAUGGCCUAGGGCUCAACCAGACUGUUGAUCUCCUCAUGCAAGAGUCAGGAUGUCGUUUAGAGCAUCCUUCUGCUACCAAAUUCCGAAAUCAUGUCAUGGAAGGAGACUGGGAUAAGGCAGAAAAUGACCUGAAUGAACUAAAGCCUUUAGUGCAUUCUCCUCAUGCUAUUGUGGUAAGAGGCGCACUUGAAAUCUCUCAAACGUUGUUGGGAAUAAUUGUGAGGAUGAAGUUUCUGCUGCUGCAGCAGAAGUACCUGGAAUACCUGGAGGACGGCAAGGUCCUGGAGGCACUUCAAGUUCUACGCUGCGAACUGACGCCGUUGAAAUACAACACAGAGCGCAUCCAUGUUCUUAGUGGGUAUCUGAUGUGUAGCCAUGCAGAAGACCUGCGGGCAAAAGCUGAAUGGGAAGGAAAGGGGGCAGCUUCGAGAUCCAAACUGCUGGACAAGCUUCAGACCUAUUUACCACCAUCAGUGAUGCUUCCCCCACGGCGUUUACAGACUCUCCUGCGGCAGGCAGUGGAACUACAAAGGGAUCGGUGCCUAUAUCACAAUACCAAACUUGACAACAAUCUAGAUUCUGUGUCUCUACUCAUAGAUCAUGUUUGUAGUAGGAGGCAGUUUCCCUGUUACACUCAGCAGAUACUGACAGAGCAUUGUAAUGAAGUGUGGUUCUGUAAAUUCUCCAAUGAUGGCACUAAACUCGCAACAGGCUCAAAGGACACCACAGUGAUCGUAUGGCAAGUUGAUGCGGAUACACACCUGUUAAAACUGCUUAAAACGUUAGAAGGACAUGCGUAUGGUGUCUCUUACAUAGCAUGGAGUCCAGAUGACAGCUACCUUGUUGCUUGUGGUCCAGACGACUGCUCUGAGCUUUGGCUUUGGAAUGUACAAACGGGAGAAUUAAGAACAAAAAUGAGCCAAUCUCAUGAAGAUAGUCUGACCAGUGUAGCCUGGAAUCCAGAUGGGAAACGCUUUGUGACGGGAGGUCAGCGCGGCCAGUUCUACCAGUGCGACCUGGAUGGAAAUCUUCUGGACUCCUGGGAGGGAGUGCGAGUGCAAUGCCUGUGGUGCUUGAGUGACGGGAAGACUGUGCUGGCUUCUGACACACACCAGAGAAUCCGGGGCUACAACUUCGAGGACCUGACAGAUAGAAACAUAGUACAAGAGGAUCAUCCUAUUAUGUCAUUUACUAUUUCAAAAAACGGCCGACUAGCUUUGUUAAAUGUAGCAACUCAGGGAGUUCAUUUAUGGGACUUGCAAGACAGAGUUUUAGUAAGGAAAUAUCAAGGUGUUACACAAGGGUUUUAUACAAUUCAUUCGUGCUUUGGAGGCCAUAAUGAAGACUUCAUCGCUAGUGGCAGUGAAGAUCACAAGGUUUACAUCUGGCACAAACGUAGCGAACUGCCCAUUGCGGAGCUCACAGGGCACACGCGCACAGUAAAUUGUGUUAGCUGGAACCCACAGAUCCCAUCCAUGAUGGCCAGCGCCUCAGACGAUGGCACUGUUAGAAUAUGGGGACCAGCGCCUUUCAUAGACCACCAGAAUAUUGAAGGAAGGAACCAAAACAUGACAGAGCUCAGUAACGUGUUGAAUGCUGCCGUUUCGGCUGCAAGGUUUUCCCCACCACCUUGAUACUUGAAGAUGAAGAAAGUCAUAAAGCUAACAGAUGAGGACAAAUUCUUGAUUAAAUAUAAUAGUACUAGAGAGAAGUAAUAAUUUUAUAGGAAUGCAGUAGCAUGGAUAGUUGAUGGCGAAUUUGGAGCAGACGACUUCUGUUUAACUUAAAAUUAGUCGUAUUUUAAUGGCUUGGGAUUUGGUGCAAACAAACAUGAUUGAUAGCUGGACAGACAUGCUCGUCGUGAAAAAAGAACCAUUUUGAAGCCCGAUUGGGGCCAAACAUUUACACCUUGCUUCAUAGUAACCAGUGAUGAAGCACGUCUUUAGAACGUUGUUGGACACCAUGUUGAAUUAUCCCCAUCGGUUGUGAAGAACUGUGCUACAUUCAGGCUUACCCAUUGAACUCAGUAUAUAUAUUUUCCCUCCUGCCUUUUGUCUGGUGGGAUACCAUUCUUGUUGCUCUUCUGUGUAAUGAAGUUCAAAUGCUUGUUUGGAAACUUUAUUUAACAGUUUAGAAGGCUUGAUAGGAAGAGUUCAUUAGUCUGAAGAGUAUACAUUGGACAGGAAAGAAUUUCCUUUUGUUUCUCCAAAUCUUUCCGCCUUAUUUAGCUUGAGAUCUUUGCAGCUUGGUUCAUGGAUUCUAGCCUUGCCCGUUGCGCAGUAUAUACUGAUCAGAUGAUAAACCAGUGAACUAUGUCUAAAGCACUCUCAAUAUUACAUUUGACAAAAAGUUUUGUACUUUUCACAUAGCUUGUUGCCCCGUAAAAGGGUUAACAGCACAAUUUUUUAAAAAUAAAUUAAGAAGUAUUUAUAGGAUUAAAGUGACUUCAUUUGUAUACAUUUGAAAUCUAAACCAGCUUAAAAACAGUGUCCUCUGUGACUGAGAUACGCAGUGUAACCGAUGCUGUUCUGAGUGCCACGUGAGACAUGGCAUGGUCAGAAAGUGUUCACAAGGACAUGGCACAGGAAAGCCAGAAAGAUACUCUGAAGGUUCCCCCUUUUUAUUUUCUUCCCGAAGGAACAUCAGUACACAAUACUGAAGAAAUUCAAGAUUCAAAAAGGAAAAUUUUAUAAAUAAACAUGGGAGAUCAGCAUCAGUCUAGGUUUUCAAGACAGCUUGUACCAAGUUCUUCUGAACUUGCAGGAAUCAUUUUGGUGUGAUCUAGCAAAAGUAGACAUCAGGAGAUAGACCCACUUCGGGGAUUGGUAGUGUAGUUGAAUUUUGAAUCGUAGAGGAAUUCAGCAGGCUCCGAACAUGAAACUGGAAUUAAAGCCUGAAUCGUUUCUCCUAAUGGCCCUUAAUGUCCAACAUAUGUAGGGACACUCAUUUAAGAAGAUUCCUUCUCAGCUUCUCAGAUGUUGCCAUAAUGAACCUCAUUCAAACUGGUGCUGUGGACAGUCUUUCCCUCUCCUCCCCUUUAGUUCACGGGAAUGUUUCCUUUAUGGAAGAAAAGACUACUCAUUUUGAAAACCUUCUAGCUAACAUAAGCCCAACUGAUGUUCAUGAUGCGCUUUAAACCUCAUAACUGUUGGGUCUAACAGUUUCCCUCGAAAUCCAUGUUUUCCAAUCGGGGAUAACCAGGGUGACCACAGCUAUUGGAAAGUGGAAUUACUCCCAAUGUAUUCUGGUGAACAAAAAAAAGAAAAUCUUGUACAACUUGCCCUUGAGGCCAAGCCAAGUCCAUAGCAUUUGCCAUGAUCACACCCUUCAGGACCCUGAGAAGAGCCAGGCCUGUACUGAGGAGUCUUCCCACUGUGGGGGUCAUAGGAAGGGAAAAGCUAGGAAGUGGGAGAAGAAAACACAUUUGGCCUUAAGAUAGUGUUCAUUCUCCCAAAGCCACAGUAAGGAGAUGACAGAUCAUAGUCAGCAGAUUAUUAAUUCGAAUGGGUAUGUAAGAGAAUCCUUUAAGCAUCAUUUUUCAAAGACCACCACUUUAGAAAAUCAAAGAAAUCCUGUUUUGAUACUUCUUAGUUAAAAUAAUAUGUUACCGUUUAUCUGGUACUUCAUUUUCUUGACUAAAAUUACUUUUCACUUUAAGCUUGAAUAAAAAUUUUCAUUCAUAACUGUAUAUAAUUAAGUGGCAACUCCUCUUUACCUCAGUGCAGUUAAAACCAUCUUUUGAUUGAUAUACCCUGAAGCCAUUAACCCACAUACCCCAGUCUCUACAGUAACAAUCACUAACAACGUGUGGGUGUAGAACUCCACAGCUCUUUACAGAUGUGGUUACAUUGUACUAUGUGGCACAUACAUAGUGUUCCCUGAGGUUUGUACCCAGCAGGGCAGUUGGCCCUUAUGUUCUGCUAGCACACCCGGCUGCACCUAGAUCUGAGUUUUCACAGUGCUUCUGAAGUACAUUUAAAACACCAAAGGUGAGGGACAUCAGCAGAACAUAACCCUGUUAGAGGGGAGUUAGAGCUAUGCAGAGCUGUUCAUAGAAGCUAGGUGAGUUUGGGUUCCAGGUCUGUCAUAGCUGGCAGCUUCCUCUAGAGACUGCUACUUGACCGUGCCAAUGUGCUGUAAGCGUCUGUUUCGUACACUUGCCAUGAAUUGAGUGUGGUAGAGAGGUGGUGAAGAGACCUAGGGUUUGUGGUGGAAGAGCCUGGUGGCAGGAGUUAAGUGAGGGUCUCUGACAAUGUGCUAACUCUAGGAAGGCUUGAGAGAAUCCUGUCAGGCCUGCCACAAGGCGCUAGCCAAUGUCUGAGCUGAAAAGUACCAAGACUUUUUGCACAUAGAUCAAAGUAGUGGAGAAUUUUGCCUCCAAAAAUCAGGUUAGUAGGCUCAACUCCAUGUGCUUGAAAUGCUUUUGUUGUUAAUGCAUCGAUUAAGGGCUAGAGUAAGAAUGAAAUUAAAUGUCUCUUUCCUCUAAAUAACUGGUUCUUAGUGGUAAAGUGUUGGAUUCGGGGAUCACUGAGGUUGGUUUGUGGGUGGUGAUGGAAAGAAUCGGAGAGGGAGUGAGUUAGGGGAGAUUUGGGUUUUGAUUCUAACUAGUAUUCAUGCCAGCUGUAUGGCGCUGCUCUUCCUGGCCAGAUAAAUGUUCUGGUAACCCAGGUAAGUGGUCAUAACAGGACAUUUUAUUUGCAAAUGUCCCCAUAAAUUGACUCAUUUUAUUGGGUGGGAGAACAAAAAAUGGAAUUCUCUGAAUUAUAAGUAAUUAAAUUAACCUGCUAGGGAAACCGAAACAGUAAUUCUGCAAGAUUAGUCAAUUAGGAGUGCACUGCCUCAACUGGCGUUCUGUGGCAUUAAUAGAAAAUUCUUUCCCCACCCCUCCCCGUCUUGAAAUUUUCUUUUUUAGGAUGUUGGUUCCUGCAAACAAGAACUGACCCCUGCCUCCCAGUGGGUGCAUGUCUUGCACACCUCUCAUCGCUUACUUUACAGCAGAAGGAUGGGAGGAAAGAAGAUAAAUUGUCUUAAGAUCCGUUGUUCCCAUUUCUAAAAACACAUUUUUACUUAGUAAUUUUACUUUAAUGUCUCAUUUAGACUUCACCAACUCUCCCUUUGUGUUGCUGGCCAAAGCAUUACCACCAUUUCCAAAACCAUACCUGAUUUCACAUAAACUGCUAACUUAAAAGAGGUGAAUUUGCAGUUACACUUAGACACUUUCUAAAAACAGGGUGAGACCAACCUGAACUUUGCAGUGUUGAGUUACUGUCAUAGCAGCUGCCCUAGAGUUGCAAAAACCCAUCCCUAUCUACUUAAUCCAGAUUGCCUGGAUUUAAUGAAGUUAAUCGUAUAAAAGUGUGUGUGUGUGUGUGUGUGUGUGUGUGUGUGUGUGUGUGUGUGUGUGUGUAAGUGUGUAAGAAAGAACGAUUCAUAAAAUAUACUAGGAACAAUUUUUAGGUUGUCAUUUUUACUGAACGUCUUGUGCACAUGUAAAGUACUCUCAAGUUUAAGGCUUGGUUAAUACUUGUCUAUUUUUAUAAGAAUGAAAUUGUGUCCCAUCUUUAACUUAGACAUUUACAUUAUCAGGAUCAACAUGCUAGAAUUAAAUCAACAUUUAUAGGCUCGAUGGUAAUGUUAUUGGCCCCUAGAGAGGGUGGGGGGAGAGAAAGAGGGGAGAGAGAGCGUGUGUGUGUGUGUGUGUGUGUGUGUGUGUGUGUGUGUGUGUGUGUGUGUGUGUAGGGAGAUAGAUCACAAAGGCAUGUAUAUGCUUAUAAACCAAGCUGUAGAGAUCAUGUAAAGAACCUGGGUGCUGCUCCAGAGAUCUCUGAGCUGUGGAAAGUGCUAAGGCAUUGUGGUGUGUGUAGCUAACAGAGCUGUUGGUAUGGAGUUAACCAUGGACUGAUAAGAUGUUGCCAGAGGAUUGUGUUCUUAAACUUUGGGGUUUGCUUUUUAACUGCCUCUCAGAUUAUAUUUAGUAGUUUAAAUUUCUUUGUUUUAUUAUUUCAUUAAAGUAUAAAAACUUCAGGUCUUAUAUUUAUUUUCACUUGUUCUACUAAUUAUUUACAAGACACCUUUUGGUUGACAUUUAUUUUAUAAAUGUGUGGUAUAUUAAAUGUCUUUAAUUUUUUUGUUUUACUGAAAUUACAGUAACUUUGAUUUGCUUUCCUGGGAUUUUGAAAUUUCGUUUGAAUUCCACCUUUUCCAUGUCAGUGCCCAGCACUUGCCCAGUCUUUGUAUUCCCUCUGUCGAUUCAAUAAACAGAAUGAGUAAUGAAGUAA